GCACUUUGCCACACAGGUGGCCCCUCCAGCCCCCUGCCUUGCCCAUGUCCCCACCCCUCGCCCAUGUGUCCCCCUCCUGCUGAGGUUCCUGAGGCCACCACAGCCCCCCGCAGCCUGGCUUCCUUGGUCACCAGGAUGUGACCCCCUGCAGUUCCCCGGAGGCCGUCAGGGGCUCCUGGUCACCCAGCCGUGCUAUACUCUGCUCCCUCUCUGCCCACUGUGUUCCUUCUCUGGGUAGUGGUCUCUUAGUCACAACUGUGCUGCUGUGACAUUGGCUGGAGCUGCACCACAGCUCCCACGCCCGCCUGCCCCAGGGGCCCAGCCAGACGCAGUGCAUGCGGCUGGUCUGUGGGCAGCCAGAGGCAGGGUCAGGUGCCCACCCUGCGCCAGACCUGGGGAGGUGGCCGUGGUGACCCUGCAGGCCGCUGGCCUUUCAGCACUGUCCCCCAGCUGUGUGCUGCCCUGUUGGGCUGUUUAACAUACCGUUUAUCAUCUGAAUGUGUUUAUUUCUUAUCUGUCCACCUGCAGUCUAGAGCUCUUGGCCCUAAACGUCUCUAAUAAAGCGCUGAGGUCACCAACACUUGCCUCGCAGCGGGUACAGUUCUACCAGCUUCACCAAAAGCCCACACCAUGAGGCUGGCCUGUGGCACCUGCCCUCGACAGAUGACAAAGUACCCUCACACCAGCACUGCUAUGGCACAGAUGACAAACCAAGGCCGAGAGCGAUCAAGAUUCUUGCCCGGGAAGCCGCACCUGCUGUCAUCUAUCAGGCGUCUAACCAUGCCGGGGGCUGGUGCAGUUUAAGACAAAGAUGUCCACUGUGUGGGCGAGGAAACUGAGGCACAGAGGGACAGAGGUAGCCCCAGGGACAGCAGCACCUGACUCCCGAGUCUAAGCUCUGUCCAAGCCACUGGCUGGCAGGGACUCCAGCCCCAUCCUUGCCCGCAAGUCACCCACACCCUCUGCUGCUAGGAAAGGAAGCUAUGUACCCUGCCCUCUCAGAAGGACAUCUGUGCACCCUCAUCGUGCAACGAGGGCGGUGCUGAAAAUCCCACCAUCAGAACGAAACUUAAUCAAGUGCCCAGAAGCACUUUCCUGGGCAGACCACACUGCUGGCCCCAGGUUGGACUGCCGAGCCUUGAAGGUGACAGAUCUGACAGCUACCUGCUCAUUUUCAG
rnacentral:lncRNA from 1 species